rnacentral:rRNA from 1 species
ACUCCUACGGGAGGCAGCAGUGGGGAAUUUUCCACAAUGGGUGAAAGCCUGACGGAGCAAUGCCGCGUGGAGGUGGAAGGCCUACGGGUCGUCAACUUCUUUUCUCGAAGAAGAAACAAUGACGGUAUCUGAGGAAUAAGCAUCGGCUAACUCUGUGCCAGCAGCCGCGGUAAU